rnacentral:rRNA from 1 species
UACGUAGGGUGCGAGCGUUGUCCGGAAUUAUUGGGCGUAAAGAGCUCGUAGGCGGUGUGUCACGUCGGCCGUGAAAACCUGCAGCUUAACUGUGGGCGUGCGGUCGAUACGGGCAUCACUGGAGUUCGGCAGGGGAGACUGGAAUUCUUGGUGUAGCAGUGAAAUGCGUAGAUAUCAAGAGGAACACCAGUGGCGAAGGCGAGUCCCUGGACAACACCUGACACUGAGGCACGAAAGCUAGGGGAGCAAACAGG